AGCUAUCAAAAAGUUCGCACGAUCUCAAAUGGUCGUAAGGGUGUCGUGAUGAGUGGUAGACUUGUAAGAGUGCGGAGCCCAUCCACCUGUAGAUGGGGACGUGAGGGCGAAACAUCUGGGCCUACUUGCGUGAAAAGCGAGAGAGGUCGCUCCAGAACCAGACGCCGUCAAACUAUACAUGUGACAGAAAACCCCAGGCUGAGCAAACUUGGCAACGACGCCCGGAAGAGAGCCAAAGAGGACGUCAUGCAGGAGAUGGUCGUGCAGAUCAUUCACCUGGCUGACUUGAACUUACAAGAUC